UUAAAUGAGAGUUUGAUCCUGGCUCAGGAUAAACGCUGGCGGCGUGCAUAACACAUGCAAGUCGAACGAUGAAGGUUUUAAGAUUUCUUCGGAAUGAUUAAAAGUGGAUUAGUGGCGAACGGGUGAGUAACACGUGAGUAACCUGCCUUACACAAGGGGAUAGCCUUUGGAAACGAAGAAUAAUACCCUAUAAAGUCAAAUCAUCGCAUGAUGGAAUGACCAAAGAAUAUAUAUCGGUGUAAGAUGGACUUGCGUCUGAUUAGCUAGUUGGUGAGAUAAAAGCCCACCAAGGCAACGAUCAGUAGCCGGCUUGAGAGAGUGUACGGCCACAUUGGGACUGAGACACGGCCCAAACUCCUACGGGAGGCAGCAGUGGGGAAUUUUGCACAAUGGGGGAAACCCUGAUGCAGCGACGCCGCGUGAUUUAGAAGGCCUUCGGGUUGUAAAAAUCUUUUUUAUGGGAUGAAAAUGACAGUACCAUAAGAAUAAGGUCCGGCUAAAUACGUGCCAGCAGCCGCGGUAAUACGUAUGGACCGAGCGUUGUCCGGAAUCAUUGGGCGUAAAGGGUACGUAGGCGGCCUAGUAAGUUAGAAGUGAAAGAACAUAGCUCAACUAUGUAUAGCUUUUAAAACUGCUAAGCUUGAGAGAUGGAAGGGAAAGUGGAAUUCCUAGUGUAGCGGUGAAAUGCGCAGAUAUUAGGAAGAAUACCGGUGGCGAAGGCGACUUUCUGGUCAUCAUCUGACGCUGAGGUACGAAAGCGUGGGUAGCAAACAGGAUUAGAUACCCUGGUAGUCCACGCUGUAAACGAUGAGUGUUAGGUUCUUGGAAUAAUCUGGGAGCCGCAGCUAACGCAUUAAACACUCCGCCUGGGGAGUACGCACGCAAGUGUGAAACUCAAAGGAAUUGACGGGGACCCGCACAAGCAGCGGAGCAUGUGGUUUAAUUCGACGCAACGCGAAGAACCUUACCAAGUCUUGACAUAUUACGGAGGAAUCUAGAGAUAGAUACUUAGGACUUCGGUCUACUGUAAUACAGGUGGUGCAUGGUUGUCGUCAGCUCGUGUCGUGAGAUGUUGGGUUAAGUCCCAUAACGAGCGCAACCCCUAUCGUUAGUUACCAUCAUUAAGUUGGGGACUCUAGCGAUACUGCCGGUGAUAAACCGGAGGAAGGUGGGGACGACGUCAAAUCAUCAUGCCCUUUAUGACUUGGGCUACACACGUGCUACAAUGGCAGGUACAGAGGGAAGCGAGAGGGCGACCUUAAGCAAAACUCAAAAAACCUGUCCCAGUUCGGAUUGCACUCUGCAACUCGAGUGCAUGAAGUUGGAGUUGCUAGUAAUCGCGAAUCAGAAUGUCGCGGUGAAUGCGUUCCCGGGUCUUGUACACACCGCCCGUCACACCAUGGAAGUUGGCAAUACCCGAAGCCUGUGAGCGAACCUUUUAGGACGCAGCAGUCGAAGGUAGGGUCAGUAACUGGGGUGAAGUCGUAACAAGGUAGCCGUAUCGGAAGGUGCGGCUGGAUCACCUCCUUUCUAA
rnacentral:rRNA from 1 species